CCUACGGGGCGCAGCAGUAGGGAAUAUUGCUCAAUGGGCGAAACUCUGAAGCAGCCAAGUCGCGUGGAGGAUGACUGCCUUAGGAGUGGUAAACUUCUUUGAUAGAGAAGUAUAUGAUGCCACGUAACGGAUUAGCACUGGCGAACUCCGUGACAGCAGCGGCGGGAACACGGAGGGUGCCAGCGUUAUACGGAAUUACUGGGGGUAAAGGGUGCGUAGGGGGGGUAAUAAGUCAGUUGUGAAAUCCUGUAGGUUAACUGUAAAAUUGCAUUUGAAACUGUUACUCUGGAGUGUGGGAGAGGUAGGUGGAAUUCGUGGUGUAGGGGUAAAAUCCGUAGAUAUCACGAAGAAUACUGAUUGCGAAGGCAACCUACUGGAACAUUACUGACACUGAUGCACGAAAGCGUGGGGAGCAAACAGGAUUAGAUACCCGUGUAGUC
rnacentral:rRNA from 1 species